rnacentral:rRNA from 1 species
ACGCUGGCGGCGUGCUUAACACAUGCAAGUCGAACGGGAAUUACUUUAUUGAAACUUCGGUCGAUUUAAUUUAAUUCUAGUGGCGGACGGGUGAGUAACGCGUGGGUAACCUGCCUUGUACAGGGGGAUAACAGUCAGAAAUGACUGCUAAUACCGCAUAAGCGCACAGGACCGCAUGGUCCGGUGUGAAAAACUCCGGUGGUAUAAGAUGGACCCGCGUUGGAUUAGCUUGUUGGUGGGGUAACGGCCCACCAAGGCGACGAUCCAUAGCCGGCCUGAGAGGGUGAACGGCCACAUUGGGACUGAGACACGGCCCAGACUCCUACGGGAGGCAGCAGUGGGGAAUAUUGCACAGUGGGGGAAACCCUGAUGCAGCGACGCCGCGUGAAGGAAGAAGUAUCUCGGUAUGUAAACUUCUAUCAGCAGGGAAGAAAAUGACGGUACCUGACUAAGAAGCCCCGGCUAACUACGUGCCAGCAGCCGCGGUAAUACGUAGGGGGCAAGCGUUAUCCGGAUUUACUGGGUGUAAAGGGAGCGUAGACGGAUGGACAAGUCUGAUGUGAAAGGCUGGGGCUCAACCCCGGGACUGCAUUGGAAACUGCCCGUCUUGAGUGCCGGAGAGGUAAGCGGAAUUCCUAGUGUAGCGGUGAAAUGCGUAGAUAUUAGGAGGAACACCAGUGGCGAAGGCGGCUUACUGGAC